GGAAUUUUGCGCAAUGGGGGAAACCCUGACGCAGCGACGCCGCGUGGAGGAGGAAGGUCUUCGGAUCGUAAACUCCUGUCAAGAGGGACGAAUGCCGUGGGGAUGAAUAAGCCCCGCGGUGGACGGUACCUCGGAAGGAAGCCACGGCUAACUCUGUGCCAGCAGCCGCGGUAAUACGGAGGGGGCAAGCGUUGUUCGGAAUUAUUGGGCGUAAAGGGCGCGUAGGCGGCCUGGUAAGUCAGUUGUGAAAGCCCUCGGCUCAACCGAGGAAUUGCGACUGAUACUGCCGGGCUUGAGUCCCGGAGAGGGUAGCGGAAUUCCCAGUGUAGCGGUGAAAUGCGUAGAUAUUGGGAGGAACAUCGGUGGCGAAGGCGGCUACCUGGACGGGUACUGACGCUGAGGCGCGAAAGCUAGGGGAGCAAAC
rnacentral:rRNA from 1 species